UAGCAUAUCAAUAAGCGGAGGAAAAGAAACCAACAGGGAUUGCCCUAGUAACGGCGAGUGAAGCGGCAACAGCUCAAAUUUGAAAUCUGGCUCUCUUUGGGGGUCCGAGUUGUAAUUUGCAGAGGAUGCUUUGGCAUKGGCGGCGUUCUAAGUUCCUUGGAACAGGACAUCACAGAGGGUGAGAAUCCCGUACGUGGUCGCCUGCCUUUGCCGUGUAAAGCUCCUUCGACGAGUCGAGUUGUUUGGGAAUGCAGCUCUAAAUGGGAGGUAAAUUUCUUCUAAAGCUAAAUACCGGCCAGAGACCGAUAGCGCACAAGUAGAGUGAUCGAAAGAUGAAAAGUACUUUGGAAAGAGAGUCAAAAAGCACGUGAAAUUGUUGAAAGGGAAGCGCUUGCAGCCAGACUUGCCCGCAGUUGCUCACCUAGGCUUUGGCCUGGGGCACUCUUCUGCGGGCAGGCCAGCAUCAGUUUGGGCGGUUGGAUAAAGGCCUCUGUCACGUAUCUCCCUCCGGGGUGACCUUAUAGGGGAGGCGUAAUGCAACCAGCCCGGACUGAGGUCCGCGCAUCUGCUAGGAUGCUGGCGUAAUGGCUGUAAGCGGCCCGUCUUGAAACACGGACCAAGGAGUCUAACAUCUAUGCGAGUGUUUGGGUGUCAAGCCCGGGCGCGCAAUGAAAGUGAACGGAGGUGGGAACCCUUUGGGUGCACCAUCGACCGAUCCUGAUGUCUUCGGAUGGAUUUGAGUAAGAGCAUAGCUGUUGGGACCCGAAAGAUGGUGAACUAUGCUUGAAUAGGGUGAAGCCAGAGGAAACUCUGGUGGAGGCUCGCAGCGGUUCUGACGUGCAAAUCGAUCGUCAAAUUUGGGCAUAGGGGCGAAAGACUAAUCGAACCAUCUDGUAGCUGGUUCCUGC
rnacentral:rRNA from 1 species